rnacentral:rRNA from 1 species
UGGGUUUAGACCCACGGCGAACGGCUGCGUAACACGUUGGUACAUACCCCGAACUCAGGGAUAUCCCUCCGAAAGGAGGAGUAAUACCGGAUGCCCUCGUAAGAGGAAAGAUUUAUCGGUUUGGGAAUGGCCUGCGGCCUAUCAGGUAGUUGGUGAGGUAACGGCUCACCAAGCCUAUGACGGGUAGCUGAUUUGAGAGAAUGAUCAGCCAGAAUGGAACUGAGACACGGUCCAU